CUGUGAAAAUGCAACCACUUUUCCCCUCAUAGGUGAUCUUCUUUGCCCAGGCUGCUUUCAGUAUUUUGUCUUUAAUAUCAAAGCUUUGAAAAUUAAUCAGAAUAGAUCUUGAGAUGGUUUCUUCCUGUGGUUUUGUGCCGCACCAUGAGCG